CAGCGCCGCGGUAAUACGUAGGUGGCAAGCGUUGUCCGGAAUUAUUGGGCGUAAAGGGCUCGCAGGCGGUUUCUUAAGUCUGAUGUGAAAGCCCCCGGCUCAACCGGGGAGGGUCAUUGGAAACUGGGAAACUUGAGUGCAGAAGAGGAGAGUGGAAUUCCACGUGUGGCGGUGAAAUGCGUAGAGAUGUGGAGGAACACCAGUGGCGAAGGCGACUCUCUGGUCUGUAACUGACGCUGAGGAGCGAAAGCGUGGGGAGCGAACAGGAUUAGAUACCCCUGUAGUCCCUGUCUCUUAUACC
rnacentral:rRNA from 1 species